UACAGGGGGGGCAAGCGUUGUUCGGAAUUACUGGGCGUAAAGGGUCUGUAGGUGGCCAACUAAGUCAGACGUGAAAUCCCUCAGCUUAACUGGGGAACUGCGUCUGAUACUGGAUGGCUUGAGUGUGGGAGAGGAAUGCGGAAUUCCAGGUGUAGCGGUGAAAUGCGUAGAUAUCAGGAGGAACAUCCGUGGCGAAGGCGGCUCUCUGGGACGGUACUGACGCUGAGACGCGAAAGCGUGGGGAGCGAACAGG
rnacentral:rRNA from 1 species